AACUGUCAGAGAUAUAAAUAAGCAAAAAACAAUAGUAAGGCAAAAUAUGAAGGGAGCAGUUGAAGAGAAUUAUUAUAGUACUAUGACACUGUGAUAGCUGUGAUGUCAGGAACACACAUCAGAAAUAGGAAAACAAUAUUUAGAAUUAGAGACAUUGUGUGCUGGCAGCAGCCAACCUGCCUUUAUGUUUAGCUAAUAAACUGAUUACACCGGUUUCAGGCCUGAUGGUAACAUUCAUACAAGAUGAUGAGUAGGAAAGUAGGAAUUGUUUUUAUUAAAAAAGAUUUUCAUUUAAACUGUCUCUGCAAAAUUUUCUUGUUUAUUUAUUUUGUUUAAAUCUUUAAGCAUUUGGAGGUUUUGACUAAAAAGAAAACAGAAAAGCAAAAAGUAAAAAAGAAAACCCAGUACUUUCCUUGAAAGGCUGAGGUUUUCUAGGAUUGUCUUUACCUGACUGAAAUUUUAUCACCGUCUUCAUUUGUUUGUAUGUUACCAGUUCAACACCACUCAUUUCAAGUUGUUAAAUUACACAGCUCUUGUUAUUUAGGUUGUAAAUGCCCUGAAUCAAAGCCUGUGUCAAUGGGGGCUUGAAAAUAUUCCUGGCAUGCACAUUAUAUUGAGAGGCUCCUGGCCGCUCCUUUAACAUAUAUGUCCAUCAUUAUUUGUUCAGCUUCUUCUGGGAUCAGAGUUUAUUAAACAACAGAACAAAAAAGCAGUCAAAACAAAACAAGAAAAUCACAAACCAAGGCCACAUUUCCUUACAACUACUUUCGUCUGUGUCACUCAAGAGUUUCUUAGAGGUACAACAGAGGUUUCUUAAGACACUGGUGCAUCACUGGUAACCUGUGUAUAACAUCUCCCUUGGAUUCAACAGCAGUCCUGCUGUUGUGAUGAUUGCAACACUAGAAUAUAGUUGAACUGCGAUAUGACACUGGUUGUUUUAUUUUUGCUUUUGUUUUCAUCUGCUGAAUGCCUAAAUAUACAGCUUUAAAAAGGCAGAUCUAAAUGAUGCAAAUGGUGCACCUAAUUCUUUUUUUUUUGUUUUGUUUUCUAAUCCAAGCUUAGCUUAGAGGUAUAUCCUUACGAAGCAUUGAUUUAUGCUGGUUGGUGUAUUGGCUCCCCAGCAGCCAGUUGGGGUAGUUCUGUAGACUGAUGAUUUGUUGUAGUUAAAUAACUCCUUUAAUGUACUACUAUGUCAUUCAGGAGAAACCACAGAAAAUUAACCUGCUAAAACUGAAGUCAUUUAUCUCUCAGAGAUUUAGGACCCCAUCUGCAAAAUGUAGACACACUGUUUUUUUUCUACUUUAUUGCCAAAAAAGAAAAGACUCGAAUUUUUAGUGAGAACUUGAAACCUCAGAAGAGACAUAGACAUUUUGCUGCAUUUGAUGAAAGAGCAAAUCAUAUUGUCUGGUGGUUUGUUAGGCUAUCGUAGAAUACUGUGUAUAUGAGACUAAGAUGACAAACAGUUGACUCUACAUGCAAAAUAUUAUUUGAAUUCAUGUCCACAACUAAAACAGAAGGCAAGAUUCCACCAGUAAGAGGGAGAGGAAGCUGGGCUAGGGGCACACGGCAGACAGAUAAAAUUAGUCCAGGUUUUCCAUUUUCUAAUUAUCUCCUAUCAUUCUUUUCCUAUCUGAAAAGUGUUUAGUCGAUACUUAAUGGAAACACUAAAAAAAUAGUAAAAAGUUAGCACAACCUUUUGGUUUUUUUCUUGGAAUGUUUCUUGAUAUAAUUAAUUACAGUUAUAAAAAAUGACUGUAUUUUUCUAUAAGUUUAGAGAUAGGAUGAACAACACAAAUAUGCAUUUUUCAUACGAUAUUUCACUAAAUACUGAGAUUUAAUAAUGUCUGUAUUUAACUCCAACUUCCUAUUUUAUAUUUUUGAUCCAUUUGCAUACUUCUGAAACAUAGGCUUUCUAGGGCCAAGAUAUGCUACUGAGAAUGAGGCAAUACUGCUCUUUUCAGUGAUUUUGUGUUAACAUAUUCAUUUCACUUUAAAUGGCCUUGUAUUGCCAGACUUGGUCAUUUUAAGUUUAUAAAUCUGAAAGUAGUUGUGUAUAUUUAAGGAUAUUUUAAUGUAAGUAAUUAUCAUCUGCCUAUCAGGAAGCUUCCCUGCCAUUUCACUUAUUUUAAACCACUCCCUACUAUUGCUUGAUGGUUUUCAUCUGCAUUUUAUGUACUGCCAGCUCCUGGGCCUUGUAAGCAUCACUGCUCUACAGGAUUAUAUCGACUUACUCCUUCGCAGGAUCUGAUCCAUACUUUCUAACUCUGUGGCAUGAUUUAGGCUAAAUUAUACCCUAUAAACUCAUUCUAGUUGGUAUUUUCUGCCUCUCAAGCUUCCAACAGGAAAGCUUGUAUUCAGGUUUCACAGCUGGACAACAAAGUACUUCCCCUGGGUACUAUGCCACUCUUUUAAAAACUAAAGCACAUGGACUAUGGAGGCCCAGCAUUUAAAUAGCAACAUUCGCUACCCUGGCUGAAGGAAAAAAGGUUAGCUCCAGCAGUAAUCUCACGCUGUAAAUUUGCUAGAGAAACAACAUGCUGGUAAAGUACACAUGAAACAAGAUUGUCAGCACUGAGCUGCUCGUUUCCUCCAGCCCCACUGGCAUUAUCAAUAGCGUAAGCACAACAUUCAUGGGAGCUCUUUGUGCUGGGAGGGAAGCCGCAGCUCCCCACCUCACAGCCGCCCCACAAGCUCAGCCCAAGCAGUGGGGCCAGCUCUGUCACCCUAAACAUGCAAUGUGCAUAUAUACAUGUGUCUAUAUAUGUAUAUAACCCACGGUGCCCCGUGGAGGCAGGCUCUCCAGUGGGAUGGCAGGUGGUGGCCCCCAAUGACAGACUCUUCUGCACGUUGCAGACGGGUUGGCCGGCUGCCUGGCAAUCCACUAGGACUGACACAUUUUGGGCAGAGCAGCGGUACAGAGGGAGCCAUGUGGCCGAUGUAUAUGUGUAUGUGUUCAAGAUGACAAGAGCCUAACCUAUGGCGUAGGAGGAAGUAAUUAAGAAAAAUCUCCUAAAUGCCAGGUGUCCACAUUUGGAUCUCCGCCUUACCUCUCUGUUUAUGGCUUCAGGUUUGACUCAGCAUAAGGAUGAAGUGUGGCAAUGUUGUAGUUUGGUCCCAUUCCAGUAUGAAUCCAGUGUAGAUACUCUCAACUGUCUUCUGGGAGGAACCUGUGUCUCCCUAAUGGCAACAUAAGGAGAAUUAGGAAGGUAAGCAGGUAGGUGUUUGAGAAAGUGCCACACUUGUAAUGCCUGUAGGUUGAAAAGUGUAACUAAAAAGAAGUCAAACCAUGAUUUAUGCUACCUCUAGCAUAAGACUGGACCAUAUUUAGCUCUUAGACACUGUUCUUUUGAACAACAGGACAGCUGUUGUUACUGAGUAAUGAUUAAUACAGCAAUUCACAGGAAUACAGUCUAACCUGAUUCAGACAAAUAACAGAAUGCAGUUAAUCUCCCUAAAUGCAUGCAGUAUAAAAGACAGAAAGCAGUAAAUACUUAAUGCAGACAAAUGAGAUUGGGAAAUUGGAUUGAAAAAGAAAUAACAGAAAAAGAAAUAAAACAAAAAUGUUUCCACUUCUCUAAACAAUAUCAGAUGGAAGGCCUAUAUCAUGGGAAACAUAGGUCACAAAUAGAGCAGCUGUAAUAGCAUACACAGAGCCUAACAAUGAUUAUGCAUAUUAAAUUUAAUUCAACACUUCAGAGAUUAGUAGUAAACAGGCCUAAUUCAGUUAUGUCUGAUGCAUACUACACACCCAUUCAUUUCACUGGGACUUCUAAAAAUAUUAGCCAUUAAUUGUACUUAUUUUGUGGAUGUGUUUGAUUUUUCAAUUUCUGUGUGGUUUAAGAGUGUCAUGCAAGGAUCAUACAGUGGGAAACAAAAUACAGUUGUUUGCUUUUUUGUCAGAGGACCAAUUGGCCAGUGUUCGUUCUUAAAAUAUAGAUUUGGUUUUAUUUAGCGGGAUUCAUAACGGACACAUAUGGAAUUCCUUGGGUACAUGCAGCAUAUAUGUUAGUCUAUACCUAAAGCACACAUACAAGUGAUCUUCCUAGCUCAUAGAUCAAGCGUAACUUGUUGCACGCUAUCUUUGAGUCACUUGUUGCAAAACUACAGACAUAACUACGCUCAUUGAAAGAAGAGGCACAAAGCUGGAUGAAAGUUACAGAUCUGCAGCCAGGGGAAAUUCCCACCUCCUGCAACCUAACAGCAAAAUACCCAUUUCACUGGGGCCAAGCCUCCUUGCAGGGUCAGCACAAGCAGACAGGCAGCAAAAAACAGCUUGUAGUGGCAGACUGGAAAAGGUAGCCCAGCAGAAGAGAAAGACUGUCUGGGCACAAGGGCUCUGAAUUUAGGUAGGGUACUGAGGCAAGCUGGUGCUCUAUUCAUUGGUACUCCAGCAAACACUACUGUGCUGGCCCUACAAUUAGCAUGGCUAUUGUUUUUUCAGUGAGCUUUCUGGAAGUUUUGUGUAUCUCAUGCUUCUGCUGAAAUCCCUGCUUAUUUUACAGGGGUGAACCCCAAAUCCCUUCGAGUUUGACAGCUUUGAGCUAAUGAGAGAAAAUUCCAGUUUCUAGUAGCAAGGUGAAGGGGAAAAAGGAAAGUGGAAGUAGAGACAAGGAGAAGAAAGGAACUCAGUUAUAAAUAAUGAAGCAUUUGCCAAGAGUGUGGUAAACAGUAUGGUAUAUUAAAAAGUAGUUAAAUUAAUUAUACCAGGCUUAAAACUUUAAAUAAAAUGAAUCUGAUUUAAAACAGCCAGAAGUCAGGAAACUCAGGCUUAAGAAUGGGAUCCUUUUAAAGUCAUUUUAUUCUAGCUUGGUUUAUCAGCAUAUUUACCAGGAGCUAAUGUAACCUAUGCAAAUCUUACACAUCAUGAAAACUCAAGCAGUUCUGCCAAGAGUUGGUGAUAAGUUGCUGUAACAGCAGCUUGGGGUUUGAGAAAUGUACUUUCCUUCACACUCAUGGUAACGAGUGACCUGGUGGUAAUGACAUCAUUAACACAUUUCACCUUUUUAUGCUCUCCCGCUGGUAUUUUACUUAUACCGGUUUAUGGGGGAAUCAUUUCAUUUUGGUGUUUGAACUCCCUUGUACUGGUAGUGGUGCUUUUAAGAAAAUAAAGAUAGAAGCGAGAGGAGAUUGUCCUCUGUGAUAUGUGAUUUGGGAGGAAUCCAUCUGAUUCUAUCAGCAGAUUCAAUCUUGUAUGAAAAAUAACCUGGAAAUUUUUAUAGCAAAUCAGGUAAGAUUGUGAUUGUUUUCCCUUCAGGAAUAGGCAAUACCCUUUUUUAAUAACCAGUUAUUAGGUACUUGUCAAGUUUUCUAAGAGCUUCUCCACAUGUGUUUGCAUUUUUAUGCAAGGUAGGUAUGUAUACUGAAAACAAACAAAACAACAGACUGAAUAGUUCCUCCGUUCAUUACGUGACAUAGUCCUUAAUGAUUCUUAAUUCUAGCUAUGCUUGAAGCAGUAUCUUUUGUUCUGGUUGUUGCUAUGUCUCAAUGUACUUCUCUACGUACUCCUUCAGGUAAUGAAAAUAUUAUUACAUCCAUUGUUUCUCUCUUUUUUUCAAAAGCUAUCUUUCUGACACUUUUUUUUCUUGUGAACGGAAAAGAAUCUAAAACCACGACCCCCUAUUUAACAAUUGCAGUUUAAUAACAUCCUAUACCUGCAUUUGUUUACUAAAGCAUUUGUCAUUAACAUAUUGCUUCCUGCAUCGACAAUGUGAAAGCAAACCUAUUAAACCCCAGAAGUUGGGGGAGGGGGAGAAGAAAAAAAGAUAACAGCAGCAAACACUACAGUACGCUGGAGCGUAUGGGGCAGAUCCUAUCUCCACUGUCAUCAGUCAGACGUUUAUCGCUGAAUUCGGAAGGACCGCCUAUUGAAAAAGGGUUUCAGAAUGGGAAUUUGUGCUCGAUUUCAAAACAAAGCUAAGUAUUUGACACCUUUAUUAUACUCCAAGUGCUCCGCUAACACAACAGUACGGGAAAGAACUCGAGAAAGGAGAAGUAAUUGCUGUCUUCAGCUACCUGAUGGAAGGUUGCAGAGGUGGAGCCAGACUCUUCUCUGAGGUGAAACACAAAAGACAGGAGGCAAGGGACUUAAGGUACAACAAAGAAAAUUCCGAAGAGACAUUAGGAAAAUCUGAUUGUCACGGCAGUCAAAAAUUGAAGCGUUGUCUGGCUGUUCAGUCUCCCAUCCUUGAAAACAUUCAGAACUUGGCUACAUGCGACUCUGAGCAACCUUUUUUCUUUUUUCUGUCCUCCAAAAAUGGUAAGGAAUAAAGGUUCUGUUUAUGGAA